UACGGAGGGUGCGAGCGUUGUCCGGAAUCAUUGGGCGUAAAGGGCGCGUAGGUGGCCCGGUCAGCGUGCGGUGAAAGCUCGGGGCUCAACCCCGAGUCGGCCGUGCGAACUGCUGGGCUGGGGCACUGUAGAGGCAGGCGGAAUUCCGGGUGUAGCGGUGGAAUGCGUAGAGAUCCGGAAGAACACCGGUGGCGAAGGCGGCCUGCUGGGCAGUGGCUGACACUGAGGCGCGACAGCGUGGGGAGCAAACAGG
rnacentral:rRNA from 1 species